GGGUAGCAAUAUUCGCUGGUUUUAGCGGCGAAAGGGUGCGUAACACGUGGGUAAUCUGCCGUGAAGAUGGGGAUAACUUGUCGAAAGACGAGCUAAUACCGAAUGUGAAUGCCGGGGGGCCACCUCUGGUAUUUGAAGCCGGGGACCGCAAGGCCUGGCGCUUCACGAUGAGCCCGCGGCCUAUCAGCUAGUUGGCGGGGUAACGGCCCACCAAGGCGAAGACGGGUAGCUGGUCUGAGAGGACGACCAGCCACACUGGAACUGAGACACGGUCCAGACACCUACGGGUGGCAGCAGUCGAGAAUUUUUCACAAUGGGCGCAAGCCUGAUGGAGCGACGCCGCGUGGGGGAUGAAGGGCUUCGGCCCGUAAACCCCUGUCAUUUGCGAACAAUUCUUUUCCGAUAACACCGGAAGAGUUGAUGGUAGCGAAAGAGGAAGGGACGGCUAACUCUGUGCCAGCAGCCGCGGUAAUACAGAGGUCCCAAGCGUUGUUCGGAUUCACUGGGCGUAAAGGGUGCGUAGGUGGUGAGGUAAGUCGGAUGUGAAAUCUCUGAGCUCAACUCAGAAAUGGCAUUGGAAACUACCUU
rnacentral:rRNA from 1 species